rnacentral:rRNA from 1 species
GGAGUUUGGACCGUGUCUCAGUUCCAAUGUGGGGGACCUUCCUCUCAGAACCCCUACUGAUCGAUGGCUCGGUGGGCCGUUACCCCGCCGACUACCUAAUCAGACGCAUCCCCAUCCCUUAGCGAUGAAUCUUUGCUUCACGUUAGAUGUCCGCUGUGAAGAAUAUAGGGUAUUAAUCCGAUUUUCACCGGGCUAUGCCCUACUAAGGGGAAGGUUGGAUACGCGUUACUCACCCGUGCGCCGGUCGCCAUCGGGGUUUGCAAGCAAACCCCAUGCUGCCCCUCGACUUGCAUGUGUUAAGCCUGUAGCUAGCGUUCAUC